rnacentral:tRNA from 1 species
GCCUGGGUGGCUCAGUCGGUUAAGCGUCCGACUUCCGCUCAGGGCGUGAUCUCACUGUUCGUGGGUUCGAGCCCCGCCCCGGGCU